UCUCAUUCACCAUUGCAGCAGCUGUUUUAAGCUUGGAAGUCUAAGUUGAAACUUUUAACAAGUGCGAUGAAGAAGAAAGCAAGUAAAGGGGAGGCUAAUUCUGUUGGUAUCGUCGAAGAUUUUCAUAUGAUGGAGAAUUUAGUUGCAACCAAACAAGGGAAGAAAAAGGAUAAAUUAAGUAAGAC